rnacentral:rRNA from 1 species
AAACUCUGAUAGCUCAUUUACAUAGCUAUCCGCCAGGGUACUACGAGCAUUAGCUUAAAACCCAAAGGACUUGGCGGUGCCUCAGACCCCCCUAGAGGAGCCUGUUCUAGAACCGAUACUCCCCGUUUAACCUUACCCUCUCUUGUCCCCACUGCCUAUAUACCGCCGCCGUCAGCUUACCCUGUGAAGGUAAAAUAGUAAGCAUAAAUGGUAAAGCCUAAAACGUCAGGUCGAGGUGUAGCGCAUGAGACGGUAGUAAUGGGCUACAUUCUCUGAUUUAGGGUACUACGGAAGGGGGGUUGAAAUACCCCCUCGAAGGAGGAUUUAGCAGUAAGCGAGGAACUAGAGCGUCCC